rnacentral:rRNA from 1 species
GACGAACGCUGGCGGCGUGCUUAACACAUGCAAGUCGAACGGAAAGGCCCUGCUUUUGUGGGGUGCUCGAGUGGCGAACGGGUGAGUAACACGUGAGUAACCUGCCCUUGACUUUGGGAUAACUUCAGGAAACUGGGGCUAAUACCGGAUAGGAGCUCCUGCUGCAUGGUGGGGGUUGGAAAGUUUCGGCGGUUGGGGAUGGACUCGCGGCUUAUCAGCUUGUUGGUGGGGUAGUGGCUUACCAAGGCUUUGACGGGUAGCCGGCCUGAGAGGGUGACCGGCCACAAUGGGACUGAGAUACGGCCCAGACUCGUACGGGAGGCAGCAGUGGGGAGUAUUACGCAAUGAGCGGGAGCCUGAUGCAGCGGCGCCGGGUGCGGGAUAACGGCCUACGAGUUGUGAACCGCUUUCGCCUGUGACGAAGCGUGAGUGACGGUAAUGGGUAAGGAAGCACCGGCUAACUACGUG